GAUGAAGAACGUAGCGAAGUGCGAUAAGUAAUGUGAAUUGCAGAAUUCCGUGAAUCAUCGAAUCUUUGAACGCAAAUUGCACUCUCUGGUAUCCCGGGGAGUAUGCCUGUUUGAGGGUCAGUGUUAAUAAAAAUCGGUGCGUUGCACUUUAUUGUGACGUUCUGGAGUUUGAGUUAUCUUAACUUUUAGGUUAAGAGGCUUAAAAUUGACCUUUUUUUUGUGCAUUUUAGACGUACAUAAAUUUUCUUUUAUUUGUCUUUUAAUGCCAAAAUUAUAUUAGAUGCGACCAUAUCGUGUGGUUUCGUGUCUAUAAAUUUUUCAUGAUUUGACCUCAAAUCAGGUAGGAGUACCCGCUGAACUUAAGCAUAUCAAUAAGCGGAGGA
rnacentral:misc_RNA from 1 species